ACGGUGAGUAACACGUAUGCAAUCCACCUGUAACAGGGGGAGUAACCCGGAGAAAUCCGGACUAAUACCCCAUAAUAUGGGCGCUCCGCAUGGAGAGUCCAUUAAAGAGAGCAAUCUUGGUUACAGACGAGCAUGCGCUCCAUUAGCCAGUUGGCGGGGUAACGGCCCACCAAGGCGACGAUGGAUAGGGGUUCUGAGAGGAAGGUCCCCCACAUUGGAACUGAGACACGGUCCAA
rnacentral:rRNA from 1 species